CAGUGCCACACCCACCUUUAUGUGUUUGCAUCCAACUAUGAUAAAUUUAUGUAUGUCACGACAGUGGGGACGCUGUGAGCUGAACAGCAAAUCACUCUAAUUAAGGUUGAUGACAAGAACAAACUGAGGAAACUGGUAGGCCUCUGUAAAAUUGACAGAGAGGGACAACCUCAUAAACUGGUUGGUUGUAGUCAUGUAGUAGUUAAGCAGUAUGGCAAAGAAUCUCAGGCCAAGAAAGUCACUGAAAAUAUUUCAAAUACAAAAAAU
rnacentral:lncRNA from 1 species